CUUCGACAUACCCCUCGACAAUCCUAGAGAUAGGACGUCCCCUUCGGGGGCAGAGUGACAGGUGGUGCAUGGUUGUCGUCAGCUCGUGUCGUGAGAUGUUGGGUUAAGUCCCGCAACGAGCGCAACCCUUGAUCUUAGUUGCCAGCAUUCAGUUGGGCACUCUAAGGUGACUGCCGGUGACAAACCGGAGGAAGGUGGGGAUGACGUCAAAUCAUCAUGCCCCUUAUGACCUGGGCUACACACGUGCUACAAUGGACAGAACAAAGGGCAGCGAAACCGCGAGGUUAAGCCAAUCCCACAAAUCUGUUCUCAGUUCGGAUCGCAGUCUGCAACUCGACUGCGUGAAGCUGGAAUCGCUAGUAAUCGCGGAUCAGCAUGCCGCGGUGAAUACGUUCCCGGGCCUUGUACACACCGCCCGU
rnacentral:rRNA from 1 species